ACAGAUCGUUCAGAGUUUGAUCCUGGCUCAGGAUGAACGCUAGCUACAGGCUUAACACAUGCAAGUCGAGGGGCAGCACGGGAAUAGCUUGCUAUUCUGGGUGGCGACCGGCGCACGGGUGCGUAACGCGUAUCGAACCUGCCCUAUACUCAGGGAUAGCCUUGCGAAAGUAAGAUUAAUACCUGAUGUUGUUAUUUAUUCGCAUGUUUGAAUAACGAAAGAUUUAUUGGUAUAGGAUGGCGAUGCGUGGCAUUAGGUAGUAGGCGGGGUAACGGCCCACCUAGCCGACGAUGCCUAGGGGUUCUGAGAGGAAGGUCCCCCACACUGGAACUGAGACACGGUCCAG
rnacentral:rRNA from 1 species